ACUAAGAUGUUUCCUAUAACUAACAUUUUAGUAGAAUAAGCACGGAGUGCUUCCUCUAAAACUUAUUUAAAAUGAUUUAACACACCUACAUUGACGGAAUUUGCAUUCAUUAUAUAUAAAAACCUUUCAAAAUCGCUGCUACUCGGACCAUCCAGAAGAGCUCCGUAGAUAUGGCCAGAAAUUAGUCCUGACUUUCACUCCAUUUCAUUUGUAACCAGUAACAAGGCACUGUUUUCUGGUGACAAAAUAAACAUAUUUGACAAAACUGAUUAUUUUCUUUCUGCUGGAUGGUUUAAUUUCAUCCAGUAACAAUGGUUACAACUAUAUUCUAUUGGUGGCAAAAGGUAACAGAGGCGACAAGGCUUUUUCUGUUUUACAGAGGGUUAUAUUUUCUUUGGUUACAACUAUAUUCUCUUGGUGACAUAGGGUAACAUUGGUGACAGUCGUUUUCAUGAUUUGCAGGAUUUUUCAAAUUGGUUACAAUGGUUACCUAACCCUUAUCUAACCCUAACCUUAUUCCUAACCCCUAACUUACCCUAAACCAAACCUAACUCUGUGUUGAAACCAAUGUUGCCUGUAACCACUGUAACCUGUCACAAGUACAUCAGAGUUUGAAAAUCAUUCAUAAUCAUUGUUACCGAUGUAACCAAUGUUACUGGUUACAAAUAGAAAAGGGCAAAAGUCGGGACUAAUUUCUGGCCUUAUAAGCUCGGACACACAUAUCGGAUGCACUUAAAAGGUGUCAAGUGCACCCCCUCCUCUUAAGCAGGUUUGCCCUAGCAAAUUCCGGUCAUUAAAAUGGCCUACGACAUGACUACUUUGAUGCAAAACACUCUCUUUUUAAAACCUAUGGAUGGAACUGUAUCAAUGUCGUCAUUAUUAAGCAGUACGUCAAAAUAUUCAUUAUUUAAAAUGUGCAGACAACAGUUGACGGGGCAAAUUACCUUUACAGAGAUCCAUGUAUUGCUAUUAACUGCUUCUAUGUAUCACAACAGCCAAUUCAUUUCGAUUCUGUUUAUUUAUUGAAAUGUAGACAAAGAUUUGACUACAAUAAAAAG
rnacentral:sRNA from 1 species